UACGAAGGGGGCUAGCGUUGUUCGGAAUUACUGGGCGUAAAGCGCGCGCAGGCGGUUUUUCAAGUCAGUGGUGAAAGCCCGGAGCUCAACUCCGGAACUGCCAUUGAAACUGUAAAACUUGAGGACGAGAGAGGUGAGUGGAAUUCCCAGUGUAGAGGUGAAACUCGUAGAUAUUGGGAAGAACACCGGUGGCGAAGGCGGCUCACUGGCUCGUAUCUGACGCUCAGGCGCGACAGCGUGGGGAUCAAACAGG
rnacentral:rRNA from 1 species